GGACAAGCAGGAAGUGGCCCCCUUUCCCCUCUGCUCUUCCUCCAGUUUCACCAUGUGAUCCACCGGCAAGGAGGACACCAAUGGAAGGCGUCCGAUAAGAUAAGUCUUAUAAAAUAUAUAGAUUUAUGAUGAUUGAGACUGAGCUAACAGAUGAGAAUCCUAGUCAUUGGCCAAGCAGCGUUUGUACCUAAUACAAGUCUCUGUAUUAUUUUGUUCAUCCACGUGGCGGGCAAAACUCAGGCGGCUGGCAGAGACCACCCUCGUGGUGGUAGGGCUUGGGCGGCUUUUGGCAGAAAGAUUUAUCGUAACAUACAUGUUGUAGAUGGAAUUACUGUUCCCCCUGGUUCCACAGCCCUUUAGCCCCAAAUAGACACACAGAGACUUAUAUUAAUUAUAAACUGUUUGGCCAAUGGCUCAGGCUUCUUAUUGGCUAACUCUCUCUCUCUCUUGUUUUUUUCCAUUUUUAAAAAUUAGAAACAAGAUUGUUUCACAUGUCAAUCCCAGUUCCCUCUCCCUCCCCUCCUCCCCUGCCCCCCACUAACUCCCUAUCCCAUACCCUUUCUGCUCCCCAGGGAGGGUGAGGCUUUCCAUGGGGAUCUUCAGAAUCUGUCAUAUCCUUUGGAACAAGGCCUAGGCCCUCCCCCGUGUGUCUAUGCUGAGGGAGUAUCUCUCUAUGGGGAAUGGGCUCCCAAUGUACAUUUCUAUACUAGAGAUAAAUACUAGAGAUCUACUAGCCAGAGGCCUCAUAGAUUGCCAAGGUCUCCUCACUGACACCCAUGUUUCUGGGGUCUGGAUCAGUCCUAUGCUGGUUUCCCAGCUAUCAGUCUGGGGUCCAUGAGCUCUCCCUUGUUCAGGUCAGCUGUGUCUGUGGGUUUCGCCAGCCUGGUCUUGACCCUUUUGCUCAUCACUCCUCCCUCUCUGCAACUGGAUUCUAGUUCAGUUCAGUGUUUAGCUGUGGGUGUCUGCUUCUACUUCCAUCAAGGCUAGCUCUCUCUUAUUAACCCAUAACUAUUAAUCUAUUUAUUUCUACAUGGCCUUAUCUUACUGGAGAAUGCCUGGUGUCCUAUCUUUCCAGUAGCUACAUGGCGUCUCCCUGGCAGCUUCUCUCUGUGUCCUCUCCCCAGAAUUCUCCUUGUCUGGUAGCCCCACUUAUACUUAUUGCCUGGCUACUGGCCAAUCAGUGUUUUAUUCACCAGCCAAUAAGAGAAAUUUAUAUACAGAAGGACACUCCCCAUCAAGAUGUGGCAGUACAUGCCUUAAGUUCCAGCAUUUGGGAGUCAUUUCUAUUACUUUGAGACAAGUCUGGUCUACAUUGCAAGUUCCAGGUCAAUCAGGGCUAGACAGUGAGACCCUAUAUCUCAGAGCGGUGGGGGGAGGCCUUUUAUUGACCCCAAUACUGCAAUGUCAAAAGAGGCACACAGUAGGAUAUCCCCCCAGCUAACACAUUAACAAGCCUGAAUGACCUGUGUAUAUAGCCAGAGAAGGGGUGUUCAGACUAAUCACAGCUCACCUCACAUCCUAAUGAAACUUUGUGUUUCAGUCAUAGUGCACCUCAUCCAAAUGAGGGUUUGUGUUUUCACCAAUCAUAUCCUUGCCUUUCAGGACUAAUCACAGCCGUCCCUCUGCCACACCUUCAGAGGAAGUGCUUUCCUCUGGCUCAGCAGACAUGGUUACAGAGCCAUGUAGAGUUCACCAAGGCUUGUGAGAGCAGCUCCAGCCCUUUGUUUCCUGGCACAUUGUCUAGAAUGUCCC
rnacentral:lncRNA from 1 species